GAGUUGAGGCCAAUGGCGGCUCCACCAUCCUGUGGCUAUGAUUCCUGAACUUGUGGUCUCCUCAGUUGAUGAGGUGAAGAAAGAAAGCCUGGAGAAUUAUGCACGAGCUUCUCACUGUCUCAGCCCACAAGUAACACACCUCUUUCCCUCACAGCCCACACUGGCUGGAACCAAUCACAUAGCCCUGCCUAACUGCAAGGGAGGCCAGAAAGUGCAACACUUUCUCAUGGUCACGGGUGAGCACGAAACAUCUCUCCAAAUAUGGGUUGGGAAGAUUAAGAGACUAGUCCAGAAGAAAACAGUCUCCAGGGAGAAAUAUAUCUGGGAAUAGGAAUCGAGAAAGCAACCAAGAGAGCAGAACUGAGUGGAUGAGAGGAACUGUCAGACCACAUCUGCAGCUCUGAUUAGUCAAAUCCGAAAUGUGCCUGUUGAUCUACUAUUCCGUGGAAAUACUGGAAUCACCAGCUCAAUAAUAAGAGGAAAGUAAAUAAUACCAUACUUGCGUGGAUAAUUCCCCUCUGCUCAUACCUUCAUUCAGGUCAACAUAGAUCUAUCAUACUCCUACAGUGUAUAAGGGACGUGCUAAGCUUGAAGUACAUUCAUUCUAAAAAUCAAAAUACAAAGGCAUGGGAAGACUAAGAAAAUUUCAUAAACCUUCAUUAAAUUAUCAGAAAUACCUGGGAUUCUCAGCUCCAUUUAUAAAGAAACCAGAGUUACAGUUCUUCCAUUACUGAUUGCUUUCUGGAUUGAAUAUUUGAACUCUGCUUUAGUGAUUCCUCUUGCUUAUAUGUGGGAGGAAGACCCCCUACCCUGAGCCAGCAGCUGGAGCACAGCCUGAACACACAGGUUCUCCCUCCUUAAGUGUUGGGCUCUAGAUUCAAGGUUUGAGUACCAUAGCCUUGAUCAGCAGAGAGAACUAACUACCUAGUUUCUACAGCUUUGCUUACUGCCUCUAAAGAUAGACAUUAACACCUUAUUUUUGAAUAUUAAUUUAGAGUUUACAAGGGCCCUAUAACCUUAAUUCAUCUCAUCUCUGUAACAGUCCUGUGAAGUAAGAAUUAUGGUACCCAUUUCAUGGAGGAGAAAACUCAGGGAACUCAGGGGACAAUCCUUUGGUGGUAUCUCUAGUUGGUGGCAAAACCAGGUCUGGGAUUCUGUUCCCUUAACUCUUGAGUGUCACUACUCAGUGGUUUUGUUUUCCAAGGAAGAAGGCCUGGAUAUUAUGGAUUUUUUUAAAAAAAUCAAGUCUCAGGUAUUUAUUCAUAGCAGUGCAAGAAUGGCCUAAUACAUCAAGUAAACAGAUUAUUCCAACACAACAGAGAGCACUGUGACAAGGCUACGAGGUCACAAAGGGAAGAACAAGGAACUCUGGCUGGCGGUGAGAGUUUUCAGUGAAGUAACAAUAUCUGACUAGGGUUUUGAAGAAUGAGCAGAAGCUCUGCGUCAGAUGAAGAAGAGACAGGAGGCCCUCCAAGCAAAGGAACCACUCAUGUCAAGACAUGGGGCAAAAAGAGAGGAUGUAUUUGGAGAACAGAGAGUAACCGAAGGCUAUCAUUCAAUCAGUGAUAGUCUUCAUGGAGGUUAAUAUCAAAGGCAACCUGAAUUUCCUCAGACUUCAUGAGCUGGCGGUGAAGGGUGAGAUCACACAAGCAGUAAUAACCCAGCUCUCCCUGGCUCACUGCCUUACUUACUGGCCUUCUGGUACUCAGCAAAGCUGUCCCCAUGAGUUUGGGAGUCUCCAUUCCUGUCCUUCCACUCCCCUCAAACGUCUUUCAUUCAAGGUCACGUGGUAACUUGACUCCUCUCACCACUACUUCUGUGGGAAUGCAGAGGCCAGGCCAGAGCCUGUGGGUGCUGCCCUCCCCAGAGACUUCACUAUGCCCAGCUCCAGGGAGGACUGACUGGAGGAGGGGACCAGGCAUCUCCCCUGCACUCUGGGCCCACAGCAACCCUGUAUACCAGCCCGUAUUAACCUUGCAACGCCUUCCUCCAAAAGGCUGAGACUUCAACCACAGGACCUGGGUGGUGAUCACCACAAAAUUUCUUCCUGAACGUUCUUCUCCAACAACUUCUCACAUUCAGUUAUUCAUUCAACAAACAUUGAGCAACAACCUAAUCUUCUGGGCUCUGGAGACCGAGUUAAAAAGGAGACAGCAGGCCCCUGCCCCCGCUUCCCGACAGGUCACCACAUCUUGAGUGCUAAGACUGUCAUCACAGGGUGAGGAGGGGAAAUGAGCUCAGAGGGGCAGAACCUUCUGAAAGGGCAGAAUGGUUCAAGCAUCCCGCCAAGGUCAGAAGGCGCUGGAUCCAGGGCAAAAAUGAAGACAUAAGGGACCUUAGGUGACAAGGAAGAAGCUCCCAGGCAGCAUGUGGGAUGGACCCAAGGAGAACGUCAGAGAGAAAGAGUUCAGUCUGGUGUCUCCUGAAGCAGGUUAAAAUUAAGCUCGGCAGGCUCGACGUAAAUGUGCAGACAAAGCAAAGCAGGAAGCCUCCCACACUAAAAAGGGAAGAUAAGAAUCACAGAAGCUGGGAUGGUUUUUAUUGAAGGGCAUUUCAAAGCAAAUACAGACAUCUACAGCAUAUUUGUAAAUCCUCCGUAUGUGUAUGGAAACACACACCUUCACACAUCAAAACUGGAUUUGUUCCUGAGUAACAAAACGUCCUAAGAACAAAAUGAAAGAAAACCAAAUAGCAGAAAAAUACUUCCAAUGUAUAUACCACAAAGGAUUAUUUAUCAACUCAACACACCAAGAGUUAAGAAAAUAAUGCAACAGGAACAAAGGGCAAAGGAUAUGUACUGGGAAGACCACAGAGAAAGAAAAUGCAAAUGGCUAAUAAUAUAAAAUAUUUCCUAGGUUCAAUAGUAAUCAGGGAAAGACAAAAUUACACUUUUGACCUCUUAGACUGGCAGUGACAAAGAUUAUUUGAGUGACCAAGCUUUAGUCAGGCUCCUGGAUCUUCUAGGCCCAUCUGGGCACUUCCUCGUAAAAUACAGUUUUAACAAAAGCCCUGCUAAAUUGGUUUACCGAGAACUCCCACCCUCAAUCGAGUUCCUUAGCCCUUCACCUUUCCUCAGGUGAGGGCUGAUCAUCCUGUCCUGUCUUCAGCAAGACUGCUCUAACGCUGACGUUUCCUUUUAGUAAUUUUCCAUCCACUGACACCCACUUGUAAUUUAUAGCCAAGGAGCAAGAUACACUGCUCCUUGGCUAUAAGUUAUUUUCCCUGUUACAUUCAGAGUUGAGCCCAAUCCCACUCCCCGACUACAAAAUCGAUAGCAGUGGUCCCUAUACCUAUUGCAAUGGUCCUAAAUAAAACCUGCCUUACCGUGCUUGA
rnacentral:lncRNA from 1 species